UCGCGGAUCAGCACGCCGCGGUGAAUACGUUCCCGGGCCUUGUACACACCGCCCGUCACACCACGAGAGUUUGUAACACCCGAAGUCGGUGAGGUAACCUUUUUGGAGCCAGCCGCCUAAGGUGGGAUAGAUGAUUGGGGUGAAGUCGUAACAAGGUAGCCGUAUCGGAAGGUGCGGCUGGAUCACCUCCUUU
rnacentral:rRNA from 2 species